ACGGAAGGCAGCAGUGGGGAAUAUUAGGCAAUGGGGGAAACCCUGACCUAGCAACGCCGCGUGAAGGAAGAAGGUCUUCGGAUUGUAAACUUCUUUGAUCAGGGACGAAUUUUGACGGUACCUGAAGGACAAGUCACGGCUAACUACGUGCCAGCAGCCGCGGUAAUACGUAGGUGACAAGCGUUAUCCGGAUUUACUGGGUGUAAAGGGCGUGUAGGCGGUUUAGCAAGUCAGAAGUGAAAUUCCCGGGCUUAACUUGGGCGCUGCUUCUGAAACUGCUUUACUUGAGUACUGGAGAGGAUAGUGGAAUUCCUAGUGUAGCGGUAAAAUGCGCAGAUAUUAGGAGGAACACCGGUGGCGAAGGCGGCUAUCUGGACAGUAACUGACGCUGAGGCGCGAAAGCACGGGGAGCAAACAGGAUUAGAUACCCUGGUA
rnacentral:rRNA from 1 species